GCUGCGGUAGCCUAGUGGUCAUGGUUUCGGAUUUGUGAUUCGAGGUUUCGAUGCUUGGUCGCUUAAGACCCGACGUGUAGCU